AUUGAACGCUGGCGGCAGGCCUAACACAUGCAAGUCGAGCGGAUGAAGGGAGCUUGCUCCUGGAUUCAGCGGCGGACGGGUGAGUAAUGCCUAGGAAUCUGCCUGGUAGUGGGGGAUAACGUCCGGAAACGGGCGCUAAUACCGCAUACGUCCUGAGGGAGAAAGUGGGGGAUCUUCGGACCUCACGCUAUCAGAUGAGCCUAGGUCGGAAUAGCUAGUUGGUGGGGUAAAGGCCUACCAAGGCGACGAUCCGUAACUGGUCUGAGAGGAUGAUCAGUCACACUGGAACUGAGACACGGUCCAGACUCCUACGGGAGGCAGCAGUGGGGAAUAUUGGACAAUGGGCGAAAGCCUGAUCCAGCCAUGCCGCGUGUGUGAAGAAGGUCUUCGGGUUUUAAAGCACUUUUAGUUGGGAAGAAAGGCAGUAAGUUAAUACCUUGCUGUUUUGACGUUACCAACAGAAUAAGCACCGGCUAACUUCGUG
rnacentral:rRNA from 1 species